rnacentral:tRNA from 1 species
GCAUUUGUGGCCGAGUGGUUGAAGGCACUGGACUCAUAAUCCAUUUUCGUAAGAACAACACUGGUUCAAAUCCAGUCAGAUGCU